AUUGCUUGCCACGCAGCAGUACCCCGUAAGCGCCGUUCUUGCCUCGAUCACCGGCACUGUGGCCUCGCGUCUCGUAAGAGUGGCAGACAGUGAUGGGCGGGUUCUUUGCGACACGGGCUGCUCUUCGACCAUGAGCUUCCUGUUACUAUUCCCCCGCGACAUUUGUUCGGCGUCUCUGGAAACGAUUUUCUUUAUUUAUAUUACACUAAGGUGCUGUUUGGUUCACGAAAUGUAACGUAAAGGGUAAUGGUAAUGGUUUACACUUGAUUAUUGGCGGUAACAA